rnacentral:rRNA from 1 species
UACGUAGGGUGCAAGCGUUGUCCGAAUUAUUGGGCGUAAAGAGCUCGUAGGCGGUCUGUCGCGUCGGCUGUGAAAACCCGGGGCUCAACCCCGGGCCUGCAGUCGAUACGGGCAAGCUAGAGUUCGGUAGGGGAGACUGGAAUUCCUGGUGUAGCGGUGAAAUGCGCAGAUAUCAGGAGGAACACCGGUGGCGAAGGCGGGUCUCUGGGCCGAUACUGACGCUGAGGAGCGAAAGCGUGGGGAGCAAACAGG